rnacentral:rRNA from 1 species
GAUGAACGCUGGCGGCGUGCCUAAUACAUGCCAGUCGAGCGAACAGACGAGGAGCUUGCUCCUCUGACGUUAGCGGCGGACGGGUGAGUAACACGUGGAUACCCUACCUAUAAGACUGGGAUAACUUCGGGACACCGGAGCUAAUACCGGAUAAUAUAUUGAACCGCAUGGUUCAAUAGUGAAAGACGGUUUUGCUGUCACUUCUCGAUGGAUCCGCGCCGCAUUAGCUAGUUGGUAAGGUAACGGCUUACCAAGGCAACGAUGCGUAGCCGACCUGAGAGGGUGAUCGGCCACACUGGAACUGAGACACGGUCCAGACUCCUACGGGAGGCAGCAGUAGGGAAUCUUCCGCAAUGGGCGAAAGCUUGACGGAGCAACGCCGCGUGAGUGAUGAAGGUCUUCGGAUCGUAAAACUCUGUUAUUAGGGAAGAACAAAUGUGUAAGUAACUAUGCACGUCUUGACGGUACCUAAUCAGAAAGCCACGGCUAACUACGUG